UCUCCUGUAGUAUAGUGGUCAGUAUACAAGCUUGUCAAUGCCUUCUUCUGAACGCCUGAAUCUCGCUUGGGACCCGGGUUCAAUUCCCGGCGGGAGAG
rfam:Valsa mali strain 03-8 chromosome 6, whole genome shotgun sequence.